rnacentral:rRNA from 1 species
AUACGGAGGGGGCUAGCGUUGUUCGGAAUUACUGGGCGUAAAGCGCGCGUAGGCGGUCCGCGUAGUCAGGCGUGAAAGCCCCGGGCUCAACCUGGGAACUGCGCUUGAUACUGGCGGGCUAGAGUCCGGGAGAGGGUAGCGGAAUUCCCAGUGUAGAGGUGAAAUUCGUAGAUAUUGGGAAGAACACCAGUGGCGAAGGCGGCUACCUGGACCGGUACUGACGCUGAGGUGCGAAAGCGUGGGGAGCAAACAGGAUUAGAAACCCCAGUAGUCC